UGGCUCAGCUGGUAGAGCACUUGCCUGGUAUGUAAGAUGUCCUGGGUUUGAUUCACAG
rnacentral:tRNA from 1 species